UUUAGCUUCAUACCACCUCAACGUCGCUGCCCUCCUCCUCCCCAAUCUUCUCAAUUCCAUCUUCCUCCUCUUUGACUCCAUUACUCGCAUUCUUCUCAACAUCCAGAGCUGUGUCUCCAUUGACUUCGGUGACAGCAAGGACUAAGAGAUCGAGGCCUUCGCAGCGGGAGGAUGAAUCGUUCGAAGAAGGGGAAUUCGAUGGAGGAGAUAGGGAAGGAGUGGGAGUAGCGGGGAGAGAAGAGGAGGAGUACAAAGGUGGAGUCUUUGAGCCUCGAAUUCUCAUUGGGAUCGACCUCGUUUGAUUCAAGGAAGGCUUAGUAGUAUAAUUACGAGUACAAGAGGGGGGGAUUUUGGGAACUGCGAGGAGUUGGGGGACUCGGAGGGAUUGGAGAAUGGAAGGGAGGAGAAUGGGAAUGGAAGGGACGAGAGGAUGGUGUAAAGAUAUAUUUAAGAAGUGUAUGCAAUAUU
rnacentral:lncRNA from 1 species